rnacentral:rRNA from 1 species
CAAUAGCGUAUAUUAAAGUUGUUGCAGUUAAAAAGCUCGCAGUUGGAUUUCUGGUGGGAGCGAUCGGUCUGGCGCUUAGCGCGAGUACUUGCAUCGUCUCCGGCCAUCCUUGGGGAGAGUCUGUCUGGCAUUAAGUUGUCGGGCAGAGGAUCCUCAUCGUUUACUGUGAAAAAAUUAGAGUGUUCAAAGCAGGCUUAUGCCGUUGAAUAUAUUAGCAUGGAAUAAUAAGAUAGGACUUUGGUACUAUUUUGUUGGUUUGCGCACCAAAGUAAUGAUUAAUAGGGACAGUUGGGGGUAUUCGUAUUCCGUUGUCAGAGGUGAAAUUCUUGGAUUUACGGAAGACGAACUACUGCGAAAGCAUUUACCAAGGAUGUUUUCAUUAA